GAUGAACGCUGGCGGCGUGCCUAAUACAUGCAAGUCGAGCGGACAGACGAGGAGCUUGCUCCUCUGACGUUAGCGGCGGACGGGUGAGUAACACGUGGAUAACCUACCUAUAAGACUGGGAUAACUUCGGGAAACCGGAGCUAAUACCGGAUAAUAUAUUGAACCGCAUGGUUCAAUAGUGAAAGACGGUUUUGCUGUCACUUAUAGAUGGAUCCGCGCCGCAUUAGCUAGUUGGUAAGGUAACGGCUUCCCAAGGCAACGAUGCGUAGCCGACCUGAGAGGGUGAUCGGCCACACUGGAACUGAGACACGGUCCAGACUCCUACGGGAGGCAGCAGUAGGGAAUCUUCCGCAAUGGGCGAAAGCCUGACGGAGCAACGCCGCGUGAGUGAUGAAGGUCUUCGGAUCGUAAAACUCUGUUAUUAGGGAAGAACAAAUGUGUAAGUAACUAUGCACGUCUUGACGGUACCUAAUCAGAAAGCCACGGCUAACUACGUG
rnacentral:rRNA from 1 species